UACAGAGGGUGCAAGCGUUGUUCGGAAUUAUUGGGCGUAAAGCGCGCGUAGGCGGCUUAGCAAGUCAGAUGUGAAAGCCUUCGGCUUAACCGAAGAAGUGCGUUUGAAACUGCUGAGCUUGAAUACCUAAGAGGAUGGCGGAAUUCCAGAAGUAGAGGUGAAAUUCGUAGAUAUCUGGAGGAACACCGGUGGCGAAGGCGGCCAUCUGGGAGGUCAUUGACGCUGAGGCGCGAAAGCGUGGGUAUCAAACAGG
rnacentral:rRNA from 1 species